rnacentral:rRNA from 1 species
AGGACGAACGCUGGCGGCGUGCUUAACACAUGCAAGUCGAGCGGAAAGGCCCUUCGGGGUACUCGAGCGGCGAACGGGUGAGUAACACGUGAGCAACCUGCCCUUAGCUCCGGGAUAGCUCCGGGAAACCGGAAUUAAUACCGGAUAUGACCUAGGCCGACAUCGGCUGUGGGUGGAAAGUUUUUCGGCUGGGGAUGGACUCGCGGCCUAUCAGCUUGUUGGUGGGGUAAUGGCCUACCAAGGCGACGACGGGUAGCCGGCCUGAGAGGGCGACCGGCCACACUGGGACUGAGACACGGCCCAGACUCCUACGGGAGGCAGCAGUGGGGAAUCUUGCGCAAUGGGCGAAAGCCUGACGCAGCGACGCCGCGUGGGGGAUGAAGGCCUUCGGGUUGUAACCCCGUUUCAGCAGGGACGAAGCGAAGUGACGGUACCUGCAGAAGAAGCGCCGGCUAACUACGCGCCAGCAGCCGC